rnacentral:rRNA from 1 species
UACGUAGGGGGCAGGCGUUGUCCGGAUUCAUUGGGCGUAAAGAGCGUGUAGGCGGCCAGGUAGGUCGGUUGUGAAAACUGGAGGCUCAACCUUCAGAGGUCGACCGAAACCAUCUGGCUAGAGCCCGGGAGAGGAGAGUGGAAUUCCUGGUGUAGCGGUGAAAUGCGCAGAUAUCAGGAAGAACACCCGUGGCGAAAGCGGCUCUCUGGAACGGUACUGACGCUGAGACGCGAAAGCGUGGGGAGCGAACAGG